rnacentral:rRNA from 1 species
CGCGGGAAAUCUUACCGGGUCCGGACACACUGAGGAUUGACAGGUUCCGAGAGUUUUUGCUUCGGCAAUGCUCUCUUAAAUAUGAUAGUCCUUUCAUGAUUAUGUGAUAGGUGGUGCAUGGCCGUUCUUAGUUCGUGGAGUGAUCUGUCUGCUUAAUUGCGUUUCACUAAAGGCGUCAUAUCUGUUUUGUUGCGUGUUUGACCCCUCUUCGGAGCGCGUGUCUUCACGCACAAUUACUUUGGCGUCUGAAAGCAACGAACGUGACCGUAACCUCUUGUUGCCUUCUCUUCUCCUCGGAGAAUGCUGUUUGUUUUUGCAGGCAGUAUAUGGAGGCUUUUUUACUCAACAACUAGAGGGACCGCUGUUUCUUUCUUUAAACCAGAGGAAGGAUACGGCAAUAACAGGUCUGUGAUGCC